rnacentral:lncRNA from 1 species
UCAUGUGAUGCUUCCCUGCUGCUGGACUCAACCAGGAGGUCCUUGUCUGAGAAGGAGAUGGACAGGAGCUUUGGGAUGAGAAACUUUAGGUACAUUGAAGAAAUUAAAGAAGCACUGGAGAGGGAGUGCCCUGGAGUUGUUUCUUGUUCAGAUAUUCUUGUUUUGUCUGCUAGGGAGGGUGUUGUUCGGGUACUUUCCUCCUUGACCUCUCUUUUUCUUUGACUUGACUCUCUUUCUUCUGUAAAACAGAGAUCUCAAGUUGGUACAAUUUGGUUUUGAUCUUUAUUUAGUAAAAUUUGACAAGAACUCAAGUUUUAUUAUUCCCUUUUCAGCUAAAAGAUAACGAGGAUUUUCACAGAUUUUUGUCCAACAAAUACCACUAAAGCUGUUGUUACCUUUUUUUUCUUGUGGUUUUUGGUACAUUUUUCAUAUUCUGUUGGUCUGUAAAACAGAGAUCUGAACUAUUUGUACAGAUUUUUAUCUAUUUCUGGGACCCCAAGGCUGUUUCCUUUUAAUUGUGGAUUUGGUAGAUUUGUCAAGUACAAUUCUCUUAAUUAUUUUCGACUUUAUUACUGUGUUCUCAGCUAGGAGGCCCAUUCAUCCCUCUCAAAACUGGAAGAAGAGAUGGAAGGAGGAGCAGAGCAGAGAUCCUUGAGCAAUACCUUCCUGACCACAAUGAGAGCAUGUCCACUGUCCUUGAGAAGUUUGCUGACAUGGGCAUUGACACCCCUGGUCUGGUUGCCCUGCUAGGUAUAUAUGCACAUCACCAUCCAUCGAUCCAUCCAUACAUACAUACAUACAUACAUAGUUUUAAAGUUCUUAAACAUCAUUAGCAUGAUUAGCAUGCAUGUUACUUCACUGAUUAUGGUCUAAUUGUAAUUAACAGGAGCUCACAGUGUUGGUAGAACACACUGUGUGAAGCUGGUGCACCGUUUAUACCCAGAAGUUGACCCUCAGCUCAACCCUGACCAUGUUGGUCACAUGCUCAAGAAGUGCCCUGAUGCAAUCCCUGACCCCAAAGCGGUUCAAUAUGUGAGAAAUGACCGCGGUACCCCCAUGAUAUUUGACAACAACUACUACAGGAACAUUUUGGACAACAAGGGUUUGAUGAUGGUGGAUCACCAACUAGCCACAGACAAGAGGACAAAACCCUAUGUCAAGAAAAUGGCCAAGAGCCAAGACUACUUCUUUA